GGCGGCUGGGGAGGCUCAGGCGGCGGAGCCUCCGGGACGGCGAACGGCGGGCGGCGGAGGAGGAGACGGCGGGUCGGGUAGGGCCGCGUUUCCCCUCCUCCUCCUCCCACCCUCCCAUCCCCUAAGCCCGGGGGUGUCCUCCGACAGCCCUUGCGGGGAGCCAAGCUGUGUUCUCAUCCCGAGGGGCAGGGCAGGCGAGACUGCGCUCAGCUCCCUCGACGAACCGGGUUCUGAGAGCAGCCGUGAUUGGGGGGAGGGGGAGCCCUGGUGUAGGGGGGAGGACGCAUGCGCAAGCGACAACGCUCCGGAGCCCCUGCCCAAACCGGUUCCCCCUGUCUGGGUGGGUGUCUGUCUUCCCCGUCCUGCACUUGUGGCCAUGCCUCUCGCCCCCCCAGCAAAGCCGGUUUGUCUGUUGACUUUCGUGUUUUGGGACAGGUCCUGUUUGGGAAUUCGGCUGCUCCCUCCGCCUCAGUUUCUCCCCGUUGCCCGCUGGGCCUGUAUCUCUUCCUGGGCUGCGCCUAAUUUGAAAGACUUGCUUUAUUCUAAUGUCGGUCUGCCUUCUCGUGUUGGCCUUGCUGUCUUGUUUUCUGCACCUGCAAUGGAAGUGUCCCUGGUAUCCCAUCUCCCCAGAUACUUCAAGUAUCUGCCCACAAUACCUCAUUUCUGAGUUUUGAUUCCCAACACUUUUCCGGGUUUUAAGUGUUGAGCCUGGGGGUGAUUAACUACAGAUUUCCAGGAGUUCGCUGUCCAUUGCCUGGUAGUACUUUGGUGUUCUUGCUCUCACGCUGUUAUUGUCUGCACCUGCUUUUACAGACAUCACCAUACUUACGGUUACUCGAGGAUUCCUUUUUCUUGAAAACAACUGUCCUAGCCGACCGUGUUAAGUGAUCAUGUUAUUAGUGCUCACGCUACAAGUGCUCCGUUAGUUUAAAAUCAUGUUCCAACUUGAAUUUGGGAACUUUUGUUGUUUGCUGUCAGUGAAAGAAAAACUGUCGGGGGCAGGGUUUCUCAAUUCACUUGAUAUUUUCAUUCAAUAAACACCUGUAUUCACGUACAUGUGACUGGAGUAGUAAGUUGUGUGUGUCUGUUUCCAGCUGCUUUGUUUAUUUAGGAAGGAAAAAAAGCAAUGGAGAGUAACUUGAACUGAGUUGGUCACAUAAAAUUGAAGUCUGAAAAGUUGAAAAACUUAAGUGCCAAGGGAGUGCACAUACGUUUUGUUUUUCCUAAUGAAGGACCUCUUGGUCUUAAUUCUAGCGUGUAUAGGGUGGUGUUUUAAUAUGUAUUUAAAGCUUUUAAAUCGAGUUUAUUUAUAAAAACUGAAAAUGAAUCGGGUGUUCGUUAUGAUCUUCUUUUGUAGACCUCAAUUUGCAUAAAUAAAAUUUGAAUCCAUGAUUGGCUUGUAUUUAUUGGUAACAUUUAAGAUUCACAUAUAGUUUUAAUACAGAUUAUCAACUCAAAUUUGUAAUUAAAAUCGAACGAUUGCUAUGUCGUACACUUUCUUUUUAUUUUAGUUUUAUAACUCAGUUUACAGUUAAGUCAGGUCAUUGUUAUUAAGGUGUAUGUUUGGGUAAGUAACCUGCCAACUGUAUGCAUUUCGGCAUUUUUUGGCAUAAUGUUGUAUUAGCACUUUACAGGUGCUUAAUCUGGAUUAAAAGGUAGUUUAGUGGGACUGUGUAAAAGUGUAGGCACCUGUUUCCUAUUUUUUCUACUGCCUAUUGAAAGAAGUGUACUAUGUACAUUAUCUACAUGAGGGGACAUGAUUUCCUAUAAACAUCUCAACUUUACACCCCAGAUUGUUUUAAGAAGUCAUUUUCUAUGAGUAUAUUUCCAGCUAGACUUUACAGCCCAGGUUCUUCUAAAGAAGUCAUUGUCUUUUAUUGAGCAUGUUGCCAGCUGAAGUGUUUCCUAGCUCAGAUGAAGCCUAUUUUGAAGGUCUCACAAUUUCACUUUGAUUGUUUUAACAAGUUACCUUUGAGUACAGGCUUCAGAAAAUAAUUAGCUUAAAUCGUUGUAACUGUUGUCUUUAUAGAUACUGAUGUGCUGAGGUUCUAACAUAAUACAGCUUGAGUAUUGUCUUUGUAGUUUUUCAUAUAAUCAGAUAUUACACUUUUCAAGCAUAUGAAAUAAAUGAGUAUAAAACUCUUAUUAAUCUUUUUUGGAGAUAGAACUCAAAUGUUAACACAGUGCUAAAUUAACCCAAGCAGAGUUUAGCGUGACAUUUGGGUGCUUUGUAUUGUUUUGUUGGUUUUCCAUAGUUAGAUUCUAAAGCGAGAAAAUCCAAGGCUAAGGACUUAGCUGUCUGUGGAUGUACAUAAUAAAACAUAGUUUUAACAGCUGUUUCUUUUUUGCAUAAAAUGAUUACCUGGUCUGCCCCUGCAACUCCAGUUUUGUGUUGAUCCUGAGAUCCUUAUUCUUUGGAAAACUUGUGAGUCAAAACAAUACUGGAUAGACCCUUAAACUUAGAACCACUCUUGUUGACCCUUAAGCCGCCUUGUUUCUUGUCAUGUGCAAAGACUCUCUGACCAAAUAUGGCAUUUUGCAAGUCAUGAACACUUUAGUUUAUAGAAUUUAACCUGUUAGUUUCCCUUUUGUCAAAUUAACCAUAGUACUUUGAGAUAAUCAUCAGAACUAAUAGAGUUUUGUAAGGCCUGACUUUCCUCCCAGGUCUCUUUUGCUGUGGAUCACAAAAUAGUAAAAAUAAAGCCUUAAACUUAUUUUUAAGUUCAUGCUUGACAUUAAAUAGUAUAUAUUACUUUGGCUCUAAAAGAUGAGAUGUAUAUCUUCUUAAUUGUAUGACUGUGCUGCCAAAUUUGGAGGUUUGCACUUUUCUAAGAGUUAAUGCAUGUAUAGUUGUUACAUAUUACCGGUUAAGAUUGCAUCAGCUUUUAUGUAAUAAAUCACAACUCAUGGCAUCCAUUAAUCUUUGUGGCAAUACAUUUUUCUCCAAAAUAAAAUGUGACAUCUCUUAAGGUACAUUAGCAAAUUAGUUUCUGUGGUAACUUUAACAAAAUGUUAUUAACUCUUAAAGCUUAACAAAGAUUUGACUUUUUUAUUUUUCUUUUAUUUAUCCACUUUAGUAAUUAUAACCAACAGCAUGUGUUUAUCAUCUUGUUUUCCAUUUUCUGAGAGUGGUCCUUGUGUCAGGAAAAGCAGUUGAUACACAGAAUCUUUCCUUGGGAACAUAUUUUAAUUAUCAUCUUGGGUAGUUAGAUAGCAUUCAAGGCUAAAUUGGAUUAAAUGCUGGGCAUUUCUGUAAUACUUCUGGGAGAAGCCAUGAGUUAAUGAUUUUAAUACUUUUACUGUAGAGGUAAUAAACUCUCUUAUGCCCUUGAAGUAUGCUGAUAAACAGAUUCUGGCAAGGUGAGAGUAGAAACAUGUCAUGUAAAUCUCUUUUGCUGUGAUGUAUACAGUUUCCUAUGAAUAGACCUCUGUUAUACCUGAAAAAAAGAAAUGGUUAUAUCUUUGUUGAGUUACUUGUUGAAUUCUCUGUGAAUUAAAGAAAAAUCUGAUUUCUGUCUAACCUUAAAAGUUAAUAUCUUAGAUAAAAAAUGGGAAAGAGUUCCUGUUGUGGUUCAGUGGAUUACGAACCACUGAGGUUAGGGGUUCAAUCCCUGACCUUGCCAAGUGGACUUGUUAGGAUCCAGCGUUGCUGUGAGCUGUGGUGUAGGUCGCAGAUGCAGCUCAGAUUCAAUCCCUAGCCUGGAACUUCUGUAUACCAUAGGGGUGUCCCUAAAAAGCAAAACAAAAGAAAAGAAAAAGGAAAGAGGAGUUACCUUGUGGCACUUCAGGUUAAGGAUCCAGCAUUGUCACUGCAGUGGUUCAGGUUGCUGCCAUGGCACAGAUUUGAUCCCUGGUCCUGGAACUUCUACAUGCCGCCAAAAAAAA
rnacentral:lncRNA from 1 species